GCGGUAAUACGUAGGGGGCGAGCGUUGUCCGGAAUUAUUGGGCGUAAAGCGCGCGCAGGCGGUCUCUUAAGUCUGAUGUGAAAGCCCACGGCUCAACCGUGGAGGGUCAUUGGAAACUGGGGGACUUGAGGGCAGGAGAGGAGAGCGGAAUUCCACGUGUAGCGGUGAAAUGCGUAGAGAUGUGGAGGAACACCAGUGGCGAAGGCGGCUCUCUGGCCUGCACCUGACGCUGAGGCGCGAAAGCGUGGGGAGCAAACAGGAUUAGAUACCCUGGUAGUCCACGCCGUAAACGAUGAGUGCUAAGUGUUAGAGGGGUCACACCCUUUAGUGCUGCAGCUAACGCGAUAAGCACUCCGCCUGGGGAGUACGGCCGCAAGGCUGAAACUCAAAGGAAUUGACGGGGGCCCGCACAAGCGGUGGAGCAUGUGGUUUAAUUCGAAG
rnacentral:rRNA from 1 species